rnacentral:rRNA from 1 species
UCAAGUUAUUAAGGGUGCAGGGCGGAUGCCUUGGCACUGGGAGCCGAUGAAGGACGUGAUAAGCUGCGAUAAGCUAUGGGGAGUUGCACGUAAACUUUGAUCCAUAGAUUUCCGAAUGAGGAAACUCACCAUGAGUAAUGUCAUGGUAUCUUCGAGUGAAUACAUAGCUCGUUGAGGGGAACUCGGGGAACUGAAACAUCUAAGUACCCGAAGGAAGAGAAAGAAAUUCGAUUCCGCUAGUAGCGGCGAGCGAACGCGGAACAGCCCAAACCUAAGGAGUUCGCUUCUUAGGGGUUGCGGACAUAUCAUUAAAGAAGAGGUAUUACAGACGAAGAGUUUUGGAAAGCUCCGCCACAGAAGGUAACAGCCCUGUAGUCGAAGUGAGAAGACUUCUGAUAUGAUCCAGAGUACCACGGGACACGUGAAACCCCGUGGGAAGCAGGAGGGACCACCCUCCAAGGCUAAAUACUACCCAGUGACCGAUAGCGCAUAGUACCGUGAGGGAAAGGUGAAAAGAACCCCGGGAGGGGAGUGAAAUAGAACCUGAAACCCUGUACUUACAAGCUGUGGGAGCACAUUUUUAGUGUUACCGCGUACUUUUUGUAGAACGGGCCAACGAGUUACGUUAUGUAGCAAGGUUAAGUACUUUAGGUAUGCAGCCGUAGCGAAAGCGAGUUUUAACUGAGCGUUUAGUUGCAUGACGUAGACCCGAAACCGGGUGACCUAUCCAUGAGCAGGUUGAAGCGAAAGUAAAAUUUCGUGGAGGACCGAACCCACGAGCGUUGAAAAGCUCGGGGAUGACUUGUGGAUAGCGGUGAAAUUCCAAUCGAACCCGGAGAUAGCUGGUUCUCCCCGAAAUAGCUUUAGGGCUAGCCUCAGAUUCAGAGAUACGGAGGUAGAGCACUGAAUGUCCUAGGGGGUAUUGCACCUACCGAAGACUAUCAAACUCCGAAUGCCGUUAUCUUUUAUCUGGGAGUCAGACUGUGGGUGAUAAGAUUCAUAGUCGAGAGGGCAACAGCCCAGACCGUCGGCUAAGGUCCCCAAAUGUAGGUUAAGUGGUAAAGGAUGUGGGAUUGCACAGACAACCAGGAUGUUGGCUUAGAAGCAGCCACUCAUUUAAAGAGUGCGUAAUAGCUCACUGGUCGAGUGAUCCUGCGCCGAAGAUUUCCGGGGCUAAAACCUACUACCGAAGCCACGGCAUCAUUUAUGAUGGGUAGGGGAGCUUUCUUUACGGGCAGAAGCAUGACCGCAAGGACAUGUGGACUGUAAAGAAGUGAGAAUGUUGGCAUGAGUAGCGAGAUGUGGGUGAGAAUCCCACAGGCCGUAAACCCGAGGUUUCCAGGGGAAGGUUCGUCCUCCCUGGGUUAGUCGGGACCUAAGCCGAGGCCGAAAGGCGUAGGUGAUGGACAACAGGUUGAAAUUCCUGUACCGCCAAUAGGCGUUUGAGAGAAGGGAUGACACAGUAGGACAGGAUGAGCGUGCUGUUGGUUAUGCACGUCCAAGCACUGAGGCAGUAUCCGGAGGCAAAUCCACGGAUAUAAUGCUGGGGUGUUACGGGGAGCGAAAUUUAGUAGCGAAGCAUCUGCAUUCACACUGUCGAGAAAAGUCUCUAUCGAGUCUAAAGGCGCCCGUACCGCAAACCGACACAGGUGGGUGAGGAGAGUAUCCUAAGGCCAGCGAGAGAACUGUUGUUAAGGAACUCGGCAAAAUGACCCCGUAACUUAGGGAUAAGGGGUGCCAUCGAAAGAUGGCCGCAGAGAAUAGGCCCAAGCGACUGUUUACCAAAAACAUAGGUUUCUGCUAAGUCGCAAGACGAUGUAUAGGAGCUGACGCCUGCCCGGUGCUGGAAGGUUAAGGGGAUCUGUUAGAGCAAUCGAAGCAGUGAACUUAAGCCCCAGUAAACGGCGGCCGUAACUAUAACGGUCCUAAGGUAGCGAAAUUCCUUGUCGGGUAAGUUCCGACC